rnacentral:miRNA from 1 species
AGCUAUGUCCAUCCGCCAUCCG